rnacentral:rRNA from 1 species
AUAACCUACCUAUAAGACUGGGAUAACUUCGGGAAACCGGAGCUAAUACCGGAUAAUAUUUUGAACCGCAUGGUUCAAAAGUGAAAGACGGUCUUGCUGUCACUUAUAGAUGGAUCCGCGCUGCAUUAGCUAGUUGGUAAGGUAACGGCUUACCAAGGCAACGAUGCAUAGCCGACCUGAGAGGGUGAUCGGCCACACUGGAACUGAGACACGGUCCAGACUCCUACGGGAGGCAGCAGUNGGGAAUCUUCCGCAAUGGGCGAAAGCCUGACGAAGCAACGCCGCGUGAGUUAUGAAGGUCUUCGGAUCGUAAAACUCUGUUAUUAGGGAAGAACAUAUGUGUUAGUUACUGUGCACAUCUUGACGGUACCUAAUCAGAAAGCCACGGCUAACUACGUGCCAACCGCCGCGGUAAUACGUAGGUGGCAAGCGUUAUCCGGAAUUAUUGGGCGUAAACGCGCGUAGGCGGUUUCUUAGGUCUGAUGUGAAAGCCCACGGCUCAACCGUGGAGGGUCAUUGGAAACUGGAAAACUUGAGUGCAGAAGAGGAAAGUGGAAUUCCAUGUGUAGCGGUGAAAUGCGCAGAGAUAUGGAGGGACACCAGUGGCGAAGGCGACUUUCUGGUCUGUAACUGACGCUGAUGUGCGAAAGCGUGGGGAUCAAACAGGAUUAGAUCCCCUGGUAGUCCCCGCCGUAACC